rnacentral:rRNA from 1 species
UACGUAGGGCGCAAGCGUUGUCCGGAAUUAUUGGGCGUAAAGAGCUCGUAGGCGGUUUGUCGCGUCUGCUGUGAAAACCUAAGGCUCAACCUUGGGCUUGCAGUGGGUACGGGCAGACUAGAGUGCGGUAGGGGUGACUGGAAUUCCUGGUGUAGCGGUGGAAUGCGCAGAUAUCAGGAGGAACACCGAGUGGCGAAGGCAGGUCAC